rnacentral:rRNA from 1 species
UACAGAGGGUGCAAGCGUUAAUCGGAAUUACUGGGCGUAAAGCGAGCGUAGUCGGUUAUUUAAGUCGGAUGUGAAAUCCCCGGGCUCAACCUGGGAAUUGCAUUCGAUACUGGAUAGCUAGAGUUCGGCAGAGGGAAGCGGAAUUUCGGGUGUAGCGGUGAAAUGCGUAGAUAUUGGGAGGAACACCGGUGGCGAAGGCGGCUCUCUGGACCGGUACUGACGCUGAGACGCGAAAGCCAGGGGAGCAAACGGG